rnacentral:rRNA from 1 species
AAGCGUUAUCCGGAUUUAUUAGGUUUAAAGGGUCCGCAGGCGGGAUUUUAAGUCAGUGGUGAAAGCCUACAGCUCAACUGUAGAACUGCCAUUGAUACUGAUAUCCUUGAGUGUGGUUGAAGUGGGCGGAACGUGUCAUGUAGCGGUGAAAUGCAUAGAUAUGACAUAGAACACCAAUUGCGAAGGCAGCUCACUAAGCCAUUACUGACGCUGAGGGACGAAAGCGUGGGGAGCGAACAGGAUUAGAUACCCUGGUAGUCCACGCCGUAAACGAUGAUCACUCGUUGCUAGCGAUACACUGUUAGUGACCAAGCGAAAGUGUUAAGUGAUCCACCUGGGAAGUACGUUCGCAAGAAUGAAACUCAAAUGAAUUGACGG